GUAGGUGAACCUGCGGAAGGAUCAUUACCGUGGGGCUUCGGCCCCGUCGUGAUAGAACCCUUGCCUUUUUGAGUACCGUCCGUUUCCUCGGCAGGCUCGCCUGCCAAUGGGGACCCAAAACCAAACUCUUUUUUAUCAUCUGUAACAGUCUGAAAAACAAACAAAAGUUAAAACUUUCAACAACGGAUCUCUUGGUUCUG
rnacentral:misc_RNA from 1 species